GGGGAUGUAGCUCAGUGGUAGAGUGCUUGCCUAGCAUAUGCAAGGCCCUGGGUUUAAACCGCAGCACCACCA
rnacentral:tRNA from 1 species